rnacentral:rRNA from 1 species
GACGAACGCUGGCGGCGUGCUUAACACAUGCGAGUCGAACGGAAAGGCCCUGCUUGCCGGGUGCUCGAGUGGCGAACGGGUGAGUAACACGUGGGUGAUCUGCCCCUUACUUUGGGAUAAGCCUGGGAAACUGGGUCUAAUACUGGAUAGGACCAUGCUGUAGGUGGUGUGGUGGAAAGAUUAGUUUCGGUAAGGGAUGAGCUCGCGGCCUAUCAGCUUGUUGGUGGGGUAAUGGCCUACCAAGGCGUCGACGGGUAGCCGGCCUGAGAGGGUGGACGGCCCCAUUGGGACUGCGAUGCGGCCCAGACUCCUACGGGAGGCAGCAGUGGGGAAUAUUGCACAAUGGGCGCAAGCCUGAUGCAGCGACGCCGCGUGGGGGAUGACGGCCUUCGGGUUGUAAACUCCUUUCAGCCAUGACGAAGCCCUUGUGGUGACGGUAGUGGGAGAAGAAGCACCGGCUAACUACGUG